ensembl:lncRNA
ACACACACACACACACACACACGUAUAUAAGCAAGCAUUCAUGUGAAUGCACAAAUUUAAUGGUUAAAAAGUCACAUGACUUCUGACUGACAGAGAAUCUGCACUGAAGUAUCCUACUAAUAACUUUGUCAACGUAAUUAAUACACAUUUUUAGGAGCAUAUGUGUGUAAUUAGCCACUCGCAAGCAAAUUCAGAUCAUUAGUCACCUUCUAAAUUGAUACAUCAUCAUCAUCAUCUGUGUCCAUGCUGGAUAAAACUUCCCCUGGACUCGAAUAAAUUUGUAGUUUUUCCAGCCAAAGCUAUUAUAGCCGCAGGGUUAAACAGGCCUGCGGUGAUCUGCAUUUACAUGUAAUUAGCGGCGCUGUUAAGAGUUCGCUAAUGUCAGACAUCAUCAGUGUCUGUAUUUCUCUCGGAAGGUUUGUGACACUUGGACGUGUGGGACGGUGCCAGUUUGCCAGAGGCAUAUUCUGAGUGUGUCAGCUAUCAGAAACGCUCCUGUGUUUCAAGGAUGGCAUCAGCUCAGGGUGUGUUUCUUGUCUGUGAGGAUCUCUGGACGGAUGGACCUGCGGGUUUGAUCUGCCUGGAUCAGCCACAUACUGUUUGACAGCGCAGUUUUUCUUGACGUUAGCUGUUGGGACGGCUUUGAUGCAGGAAGGGUGGACUGUCGCUGGGAGUUUGGAGUGUGUUCAGUGAGUUAUUUCUAUAGACAGGACAGUGAGGAGAGCGCCUGAGGAGCAUGCACACACACACAAGUAGAGUGCUGCUGGGACCAACGCUUUUCCCCAGACGCUCCACAUGGACACAGUAAAGAAGAGGUCGUGGCUAUAUUCGGCAAGGUCAUCAAAGAGCCUGGAGUCAGCGCUCAUCAUCAUCAUCAUCAUCAUCAUCAUCAUGCUGUUUGGUUCAGUUCAGCUGUCCUUGACCCCUCUGCUCUCUUUUCUGGAAGUUUCUGUGAUUUGCUGCGCCGUGCGGUUCAUCGAAUCCCUCAGAGAGCCUUUCACCUGUCUCCUAACAGCUCCCAGAAUGCAGCGCUGUGCAGGACGACACACGCCUGGCAAUUAGUGGAAUGGAAACUGGAGUGCUCUUCUGAGAGCUGAAAUAAUUGGAUGUUAGACACUUGUUGAUGGAGGGCAGCAGAUUCUGGAUUUAGAAGAAAACCUUUAUCGAGUCCCACCGCCCUUGAAACGGAUGACAUCGAUUGGACAGCCAGAAGAUUCCCGACCCCUCCUGCCCUGGAGGACGAUCAAUGGACCCGCGGGCCGCUCCCGGAACAUCAGCAGAGGAUUAAACAAUCUCCCAGCACAACACAAUUAACUCCACAACACCUCACAUCAAUAUUUAAGAGCAAACUACAGAUAGCACAGAGAAAAAAAAUGCUUCGAAUUUUGUAUAUCGCAUGGCAAUAUUAAAGCAAUAGUUCACCCAAAAAUUACAAUUUGCUGGAAAUCUGCUCACUAUCAGGCCAUCCAAGAUGUAGAUGAGUUUGUUUCUUCAUCAGAACAGAUUUGGAUCCAUUGAAGUGAAUAGGUGCCGUCAGAAUCUGAAUGUUUAAACAUUCAGAUGUCACCCCCUUUCUAAUCAUUAACUUUCAUAUUUAACUGUAGUUUAAUUACA